GAUGAACGCUGGCGGCGUGCCUAAUACAUGCAAGUCGAGCGAACAGACGAGGAGCUUGCUCCUUUGACGUUAGCGGCGGACGGGUGAGUAACACGUGGGUAACCUACCUAUAAGACUGGGAUAACUUCGGGAAACCGGAGCUAAUACCGGAUAAUAUUUCGAACCGCAUGGUUCGAUAGUGAAAGAUGGCUCUGCUAUCACUUAUAGAUGGACCUGCGCCGUAUUAGCUAGUUGGUAAGGUAACGGCUUACCAAGGCAACGAUACGUAGCCGACCUGAGAGGGUGAUCGGCCACACUGGAACUGAGGCACGGUCCAGACUCCUACGGGAGGCAGCAGUAGGGAAUCUUCCGCAAUGGGCGAAAGCCUGACGGAGCAACGCCGCGUGAGUGAUGAAGGUCUUCGGAUCGUAAAACUCUGUUAUUAGGGAAGAACAAACGUGUAAGUAACUGUGCACGUCUUGACGGUACCUAAUCAGAAAGCCACGGCUAACUACGUG
rnacentral:rRNA from 1 species